UACAGAGGGUGCGAGCGUUAAUCGGAAUUACUGGGCGUAAAGGGCGCGUAGGCGGUUAUAUGUGUGGGAUGUGAAAGCCCCGGGCUUAACCUGGGAAGUGCAUACCAAACUGUAUAACUGGAGUAUAUGAGAGGGUAGCGGAAUUUCCGAUGUAGCGGUGAAAUGCGUAGAGAUCGGAAGGAACGCCGAUGGCGAAGGCAGCUACCUGGCAUAAUACUGACGCUGAGGCGCGAAAGCGUGGGGAGCAAACAGG
rnacentral:rRNA from 1 species